GACGAACGCUGGCGGCGUGCUUAACACAUGCAAGUCGAACGGAAAGGCCCUGCUUUUGUGGGGUGCUCGAGUGGCGAACGGGUGAGUAACACGUGAGUAACCUGCCCUUGACUUUGGGAUAACUUCAGGAAACUGGGGCUAAUACCGGAUAGGAGCUCCUGCUGCAUGGUGGGGGUUGGAAAGUUUCGGCGGUUGGGGAUGGACUCGCGGCUUAUCAGUUUGUUGGUGGGGUAGUGGCUUACCAAGGCUUUGACGGGUAGCCGGCAUGAGAGGGUGACCGGCCACAUUGGGACUGAGAUACGGCCCAGACUCCUACGGGAGGCAGCAGUGGGGAAUAUUGCACAAUGGGCGGAAGCCUAAUGCAGCAACGCCGCGUGCGGGAUGACGGCCUGCGGGUUGUAAACCGCUUUCGCCUGUGACGAAGCGUGAGUGACGGUAAUGGGUAAAGAAGCACCGGCUAACUACGUG
rnacentral:rRNA from 1 species